rnacentral:lncRNA from 1 species
GGUGGCAGAGCCCAGCCACCAGGGUCUGCUCCAUGCCUGGUCCCUGGAGAGGCCCUCACCCUCUCUGCUUUCACCCAACCCGACUGACACGGAGUAGGAGGUGGGAAUCAUGCAGGCAGGGAGCUUAGGAAGCCUGGUUCAAGAUCCUGAAACUGAGGCUCAGAGAGCAGAAGCAGCUUGGCCAAAGUCAUACAACUGGUAGUUGGUAAAGGAGCUGGCCUUGAACUCAGGGAUAUCUUGAAAGCCACUGUUGCUUCUAUGGACUCUAGCCAUUCAAAAGACCCCUCACCUUCUAUAAGACCCCAGGAGAUCCUCAGGGUCCAACUGCUCCCUUGAAAACAGGUCCCAGAUAUAUCUGCCAAAGGUAUGAUUAGGUGCCUAAACACAUACCAUGAGAAAGGGAUUCCAUGUCUUCCAAUCCUGCCCAGAGAUGCAGAGACACCACCACCCAGGGAGAGAUAGCCAGAAACUAAAAUAAGAUGUUAGAGACAGGUGGUUGAUAGUGACAGAUACAGCCACACCAAGACAGGCUCAAAGGGAGGAAGACUGAGGGGAAGCCAGAGACAGAGAGGGACACAUUAGGCCAAAGAAUGAGAGAGAUAGCUGGAAAAGGAGACAAUAGGAGUAGAGGAGGGUAC